rnacentral:rRNA from 1 species
GAUGAACGCUGACGGCGUGCCUAAUACAUGCAAGUCGAGCGAACGGACGAGAAGCUUGCUUCUCUGAUGUUAGCGGCGGACGGGUGAGUAACACGUGGAUAACCUACCUAUAAGACUGGGAUAACUUCGGGAAACCGGAGCUAAUACCGGAUAAUAUUUUGAACCGCAUGGUUCAAAAGUGAAAGACGGUCUUGCUGUCACUUAUAGAUGGAUCCGCGCUGCAUUAGCUAGUUGGUAAGGUAACGGCUUACCAAGGCAACGAUGCAUAGCCGACCUGAGAGGGUGAUCGGCCACACUGGAACUGAGACACGGUCCAGACUCCUACGGGAGGCAGCAGUAGGGAAUCUUCCGCAAAGGGCGAAAGCCUGGCGGAGCAACGCCGCGUGAGUGAUGAAGGUCUUCGGAUCGUAAAACUCUGUUAUUAGGGAAGAACAUAUGUGUAAGUAACUGUGCACAUCUUGACGGUACCUAAUCAGAAAGCCACGGCUAACUACGUG